rnacentral:lncRNA from 1 species
CUGGUGGCUUCCAAUAUUAAAAACCUCAAUAGACCCAGGCAAAGGGGAAUGAGUUGGUCGCCCAGUGAUUGCUCAGCAAACGUUAGUUACCAUCACCCUCUUGGGUGGUGUUGCCAUGGUGCAGGAGGAAAGGAAAGGGAAGUGAUGUGAUGGGUGGGAGUUUGCUAGCCUGACCUUCAAGGAGAGGCAUCCCUGUAGGAUUUUGAUCUUCUUUGCAAUUAUCUUAAAAGGAUGCCCACUCUUUGUGACCCAAUUUAAAAUGGAAUGCCUCCAAAAACAGAAUGCAUAAAGUCCAAGCCUCAGCAUGACAAAGGGAGAGGUUGGGAGGGAGACCCAGGCACCGCUCACAAGGAUCCCAAUUCACCAGGGACCUCCGAAGCUGGCAACGCCUGCCUGGGGUUCUGGAGCUCGGAUAUUUUGCUGUAACAACAGGCUGACUGUACAAGUACUGUACAGAGGCUGAGAUGGUUGGAUGGCAUCACCGACUCAAUGGACAUGAGUUUGAGCAAGUUCCGGGAGACAGUGAAAGACAGAAAACCCUGGUGUGCUCCAGUCCGUGGGGUUGCAAAGAGUCAGACACGACUGAGUGACUGAACAGCAACAGCUGUGCAGAUUACAGCCCUGCAGUAUCUUUAUUUCAAGCCCAGAACCUGCGCCAUCAACGUCAGGUAGGAGUGACAGUGCGGCUCGCCCUCCGUCCCCCACGGCUGACCGCCCUUCAGCUCUGCCAUCUCCCGCCUCCUCUCCCUCCUCCGGUCAGUGACUGCUCUUGCCUGUUCACUCCAUGCCAGCCCCUGGGUGCCAGCUGUUGUACUGGACUACCCUCCUUUUCAAGAAACCCAGCUUUGUGAAGACCCAUGGAUGCUUCUGAGUCCCAAAUGAAUGCUCACCUCAUCCUAACUGGAAUUAGCAACUCACAGCUGCCCUGGUCAUCAUGUGUUUGGGUGGUGUGGUGAGGAGGUCCGCCCAUUCUCGGCCCCAGGCUGCCCCAGAUUCUGUGUGGACUGCCGCCCGGCCCUCAUCACACAGGGUGCUCUCAGGUUGUGACCUCUCAGCAGGUAGGUGCGGAGGGAAUACAUCACUCAGUGGUGGCGGGGUGGGGGAGGCGGAGGGGCUGGCCUGGGUGGGCUCCAGUGACUGUACCCAUGAAACACGUGGUGAGGUCUCCCGUGGCUGGAGGAAAUCAUGUGGGGGUGAACCAAGUGUGUGAAAGUUUCUGCCACACCCCUCGUGUGUGCUGGUCGGGCUCAUUUUACACCUGCUCAUUCCUCCUCCUCCUUUGUCGCCAAGAGUAUCUAUUGGUCACAGAGCACCCUGGGGCCUUUAAAAAGAGAGCUUUGCCCUCCAAUAGCAGGAAUGAAGGAAGGUUUAGCUUGGUGGCCUUGGCUGUCAAGGGGGUUCCCUAUCCUUAGGUCAUUCUGGCCAGUGUGAGCCCCACAGCUGUUCCCGGAGGUUGAAGGGGUGCAUAUUCUGUCCAUUCUGCAAUGAGUUAGAAACCUAAGGUGAUGGCAAUUUAGUCAUUGAGGCUGUCCAACUCUUACCAUCCCACUGACUAUAGCCCGCCAGGCUCCUUUCUCCAUGGCAGGCAAGAAUACUGGAGUGGGUUGCCAUUUCUUUCUCUGGAGAAACUCAUGGUAUGCAGACUUAAACACUUUCCCCUAAUCUCACAACCUGUUGGAUGGUAGAGAUGAUGCAAACCCAUUGUUUCUUCCUUGUUUUUAAUUAAGAAAUGAAGAGAUGGCUAAGAUAAAAUGCUAAGAUGGAAACAGUCCAUAAUUCCUCUCCUCCAGCACAGCUCUUUUUGUUUCCACACCAGGACUUUCUCGGGUGACAGGCAUCUCACUCAAUUGUACUAAGAAGUAUGACUCACCAUGGUUAGAACUAUUUUGUCUUUCAAUAAUCAUUUUUAGUGACUGCAUAGUAGUCCAACAAAUAAAAAUUUCAAAUAACGUGCCUUUAAGUUAUUC